UGGGGAAUAUUGGACAAUGGGCGCAAGCCUGAUCCAGCCAUGCCGCGUGAGUGACGAAGGUCUUCGGAUUGUAAAGCUCUUUUGGCGGGGACGAUAAUGACGGUACCCGCAGAAUAAGCCCCGGCUAACUUCGUGCCAGCAGCCGCGGUAAUACGAAGGGGGCUAGCGUUGUUCGGAAUUACUGGGCGUAAAGCGCACGUAGGCGGAUUUGUAAGUCAGGGGUGAAAUCCCGGGGCUCAACCUCGGAACUGCCUUUGAUACUGCAAGUCUCGAGUCCGAUAGAGGUGAGUGGAAUUCCUAGUGUAGAGGUGAAAUUCGUAGAUAUUAGGAAGAACACCAGUGGCGAAGGCGGCUCACUGGAUCGGUACUGACGGUGAGGGAUGAAAGCUGGGGGAGCAAACCGGAUUAGAUACCCAUGUAGUCCCUGAGCGGGCUGGCAAGGCGCAU
rnacentral:rRNA from 1 species